UGUUGAUAAAUUAAUGACUGAAAUAGAGCUAACAGCCGCAGAAGUAGACGCUAUUAAAACAGCCCAAAACGACAUAAAAGACAAAACCGCCCUGGCUACACUUUGUGUAUGGAGCCAACGUCAACUCGUUAAAGAACCCCCCAGAUGCUAUUACUGCGAAAAGAUUGGUCAUCAGGAGAGAUAUUGCAGAAAGAAACACAGAGACAAGGCCAAACCGUCGGCCCCGCCCAUGGAACCAGUCAACGGCCCCCACACCAUGAAGAACACGCUCCAACGCCCAGGUGAGUAUAAUCAUUACUAGGACCCCUUGGAAAAGGAAACAAGGAUCCAGGCAACGCUUCUUCAACUGUCUUCCACCCCCACCGAAAAUCCAAAAUGCUCCGUGCAGAUGGCAAGGACCAAUCCAGGUGUAACUGACCACGAGGGCUGCAGUCAAACUCCAAGGAAAACCAGAAUGGAUCCAUGCAAGCCGAUGCCGCCCAGCACCUCCAGAAGAGGAAAGCACCAACGCCUCGAAUGGACCACCUCUACUGCAAUCUGCAUAAUACUCCUGAUGAGCCCAGCAGACCAAUGCAACGCAACCACCAGCAACAACGACCGACUCCCAACCAUAGCGGAACCCCAGCUAACCACAUCAUCACACAACCAGUUUGCAAGCCUACUUGCUGCAGCUCAAACCCACUUCAACACCACCAAGAAUGGGCCCCUUACUCCAAUGAAGAGUUACCAAAUGGAAAAUGAGUGACCUAACAUGCUAGGCAUACAUUUUACUAAUGUACAUAUUGAUCAUUUACUUUUACUAAUUUCUUUGAAUUUGCAAUUUUACUAAGGUACAUAUUGAUUACUUUAUUAAUGAUUGAUUUUUACUAAUUUCUUUGAAUUUUAUUCCUAUUAUUCUGUGUUUUAACUGUUUGACCAUCAUUUGUAAUCCUGUGACAUAAUAUAUCACCUGUAAUAAAAAAAAAGUGUUGAUCUUAUGAUCAAAAAGGGAGGAACUGUCGUGGAAAUAUCAAUCAUAACUAUAAAUAUACAAUCACAUACAAAUGAUAUUAACCUUGUUUAUAUAAUUAUUACAUUAGAAGGAACUGUAUACAUUCUCCCUGUAACUUAAAACAAAUCCCUUCCUCUCUUAAACUGAGAGAAGUUAAGUUAAUUCGUAUUCAAGUUCCCACUGGAGCCAGUAAGUCUGGUUUUGUGACCAGGCCAAUCGACUGACUUCUUUGUUGUGUAAACUCGUUUAGAGCCAAACCUGCAGACAUGUCCAAUACCCACCCAUUGUAUUACAAAUUUACUUGGCCUAAGGUCACUCCCACUCCCUUCCCACAAUGAAAAUGUUCCCAAUAAGAAUCUUGUGAAUCUAUUGUCUCGUCGAAUGUGUUCUCGGUAAACUUUGCUGCCAGUACUUUUCCCAUGAUCAUGCCUUAAGAUUAAAUCAAAUAUUUCGCUGUC
ensembl:lncRNA